UUAACGAAGAAAAUUUGUUUGAGAUCAAUCAGAAUGGCGUGCAAGUGCGGACGGGCUCACAGCGUCGUGUCUGUGUUGGUGUUAAUGGCCCUGGCGAUUGCUGCGGUCUCAUCAUCCACGGGAAAACAGAGUAGGAUCCUGUACUCCCAUCUAAAUCCCCACCCCGCUCCCGCUCCCGCUCCCCCAAAGGUUUCCUCUACUAAAUAUCCAAGAAUCUUGCCCCUCCUGGACUCCCAUCCCCAUCCCCAUCCCCAUCCCCAUCCCCUUUCCCAAAGGUUUCCUCCACUAAAUAUCCAAGAAUCUUGCCCCCUCAUGACCCGCUGGCGAUGAACGCUAGCGAAGCACUCAGAGAGGCGGGAUACCACAUCAUGGCCACGGCUUUCGAGCUGUUCGCUGCAGAAUUUAUUCCACUGGGCCCUGUAACGUUUUUUGCGAUUAGCGACCAGGCGCUGUUGAACUCCAGGCUACCUCCAUGGGUGAUGAUGAAACUGCUCCGUUACCACACGAUCACCGAAAUGCUCCUACGGGAUGACCUACACAUCCUGACAUCUGGCAUAUGCAUCCGUACUGUUCUUUCACACAAGAGUUUGAUCGUCACCCAUGAGCAGACAGAGAACAGCACGGUAGCUUUGAACAACGUAGAAAUCUCUGAUACCAAUAUCUUUGCGGCCGUCGGUCUGGCAAUUCACGGCGUGCAUCAGCCAUUUUAUUACCCCGGCCGCUCGCUCCUUUCCCUGCCGUUUUUUCCGACCUGCAUUUUCUCGGAAAGCGCCAGGGGCGUAUCGGUGCAGCGCCACCACAGGGGCGCCUGAAUGGAUGCCUGUCCUUCUACAUGGCCAUGAGUUUACAGGCCCGAUGAUUCAAGGAUCUGCAAUGGACAGAAGGAUGCAAUGGAUGUAAUUUGUAGAAUCCUCAUUCAAGUUGAAAUGAUUUAAAUUGGAUUUAGGUAAAAUUAGUGGCAUCAUUGUCAACUGCUAAUUUGUAGAAUCCUCAUUCAAGUUGAAAUGAUUUAAAUUGGAUUUAGGUAAAAUUAGUGGCAUCAUUGUCAACUGCUGCACAAGCUUUGAUCAUAAGAAGAGCAUUUUGAAUCUUGUUUAUUGUUAGUUCUUGCCCAUCGCAGGAUACUAUUGCAUUCAUGUAUGUCAUUUUUUUUAAUAGAACAACCAAUCAUUAUAAAGAAUUUAAAUUUUUUGAAAACAAUUCUAUAGUUUAUAAUUACUCUUUUAAUUUAAUAAAUUGAGAAAAUCUCAUUUAUCUUUCUUCUUAUUGGCUUAUGCUGGCAACAGUAAGUGUGAAAAUCAAAUUAUUAUUUAUUUUUUAAUAAAUAUUAAUUGGCAUGCACAGCAUCAAUUUACAUUAGUUGGCAUGCACGGCAUUUGCUGGCAAGCAUUUGCAAAUAUUAAAUGAAUGUUAAAUGUUGUCAUUGAAUGAAUGUUACGUGUGUUCUAUGUGUUCUGGAGUUGGUUUAGUCUAGUUUGUAUGUAGUGUUUGCCAAAAUUCAUGUGGGAGCCUAAAAAUCAUUUCAGAAAAUAGUGUGUGAGCUUGGAUAUACUUUGGAAGGAGUGUUUGUAGUUUUGUAGAUUGCAGAUACUGGCUGGCAAACAAGAGUGGAAACUGUAAGAUGCAUUGACAGUCAUCAAUGUUUCUUUGUCUUCUAUGUAUUUUUGUAUUUUUUUUUUGUUGUCUUUGAAAUCUAGUGUCUUUGUUAAAUCUUCAGAGCUCAUGGGUCAGGGCACUGUGUUGAGGAAUGUGAGAGCAAGGCCCGAGGUCUUUUGUCAACAUGUGAAUACUCCGUGUCGUUUUGAUUCUUCUACGAGGUUGCUCUGCCAUUCCUUAGCCCAGUGCCCUAAUUUGUGAGGUCUGAAAAAAGGAGAACAAAAAUCAGGAAAAGCAAAUUUUUUUGACAUUUUGUUACUCUUCUGUGCUUGGGACAUGAAAUUUGAUGUUUUUUGAGUGAUACAUACAGUUUGAUGUUUUCACUGCGCGUUAUUUUGUCAUGAUAAUGAUAUAGACUACAAUAUGUCUUCUUCUGGCAACACUGCUUGCAAACUAACCUUGCAAACUGUUCUUGUCUCACGCUUUUAUAAAAGUUUUCUCUAAGUCAAUCUAUUUGUUCCACUGACUUUAGCUUAUGUUUUCUUCGGCUUGGUAACUCUUGGGUGAGGUUAUGCUCUGGGUUUCUUUUGGUGUAAGCUUGGACCACAUUCCUAAGAUUUCUGUAUACGAGUCAACCCGUUGAAUGCAGACUGCAUUUACGGACUUUAUGGAUUUUGAACCUGAGUUGUGCUCCUACGAGUACCGUUUGCUACUACUAGACCACAAUUCUGCCGAGUUUAACCGAGCUUAUUGUUAUUAGCUUCAUGAACUGUAAUUAGGGUUAUGCUCUGGGUUUCUUUUGGUGUAAGCUUGGACCACAUUCCUAAGAUUUCUGUAUACGAGUCAACCCGUUGAAUGCAGACUGCAUUUACGGACUUUGUGGAUUUUGAACCUGAGUUGUGCUCCUACGAGUACCGUUUGCUACUACUAGACCACAAUUCUGCUGAGUUUCACCGAGCUUAUUGUUAUUAGCUUCAUGAACUGGAAUUAGGGUUGUGCUCUGGGUUUCUUUUGGUGUAAGCUUGGACCACAUUCCUAGGAUUUCUGUAUACGAGUCAACCCGUUGAAUGCAGACUGCAUUUACGGACUUUGUGGAUUUUGAACCUGAGUUUUGCUCCUACGAGUACCAUUUGCUACUACUAGACCACAAUUCUGCUUAGUUUAACCGAGCUUAUUGUUAUUAGCUUCAUGAACUGGAAUUAUUUGGAUAUUUGUGGGGGAUUUGAACCCGGGUUAUACCCUCGCAACUGUUACUUGUUAUCCCUAGACUGCAAACCCAUCGGAAUUUGUUUCAAGCUUGGUACCAUCUUGUGGGUAUCUGAAUCUGAGCUGUGCUUUAAUGAGCGUCGCUCGCCACAAUGCCUUGGAAUUCAAUUGGAGCUUACCGUUGACACCUUUUCUUUUUUUGAAACUUAGAAAUGAGUGGUGUAUUUGAAGCUCAGUUACACUCUUAUGACCGUUAUUUGUCAUAGCUCCACUACAACCUUCUGGAACUGAACUGAAGCUUUAUUAUCAGCUCCGUGGACCAAAAUCAAGAACUUUGUUGAAAACGAACUUGAAUUAUGCUCUCAGUAGUGUAGCGUGUCACUUGUUACAAGUACAACACUCCUUGCAAGCCCUUGGACUUUAGUUUGAGCUUAUUACCAGAUCUUUGGACGAAAAUUAAAAUUUGCCUGUUUGGGUUGUAGUGGGUCCACUUUACUUCCGAGUAUGGUCAUGAGAUCGAAACCUAAGGACACAAAGUUUGAACACUAUGUAAAGUAAGUGGAAAAUUCGGGUUUCCAUGAGUGGUUUUCACAUGUCAACUGGCACGUGGCUUUGACAGUGACGCAAAAAAUUGAAAUAACUGUGAAAUUACCUUUAAAUGCUCUUUCCAGCCUUUCAGAGAAACAGAUCACUCCUCUUUGUCAAUGGGCAGUAUGGCUUGACUGAAAUAUUUAUAUUUUUUUGUCGUGUUAAUAUUUUAUGUACUAUAUUUUUACUGCAAAUGACUUAAUCAUGAAUUCCCAGGUACAAUUGAAUGUCAAUAUCAUAUUUAGAUUUUAUCUUCUCCUUGGAAAAAUAAAAAAAAAAAAUAUGUUGAUGUUGUUGUCAUUCAUUUUCUUUCAGCUUCCUCUGGCUGUAGAUUAUACAUUUUCUUUCAGAUUCUCUAUAUGGAUGAACGGAAUGGCUUGCAUAUACUAGUUUAUGAAUCAAAACAACAUGAAAAUCAGAAGAUCCUAUGCAUAAUUGAACAUAAAUUUGAACUUAUUAUGAGCUCCUUGGACAGAAAGUUAAAUAUAUGCCCACGUUCUCAAAUGCUUUUUCCUGAGUUCUUAGUGCGAUAGGUGGCUCCUCUCUUUUAAUUAACAGAAUCUCUUGUUCGAUUUAUUUGUUUAAUUGUCUUUUUUUGUGAAUUGUGGUAGUACAUAAUAAUUGCAAAUGAAUUGAAAUUAAACUCUAUACCAAUUUGAAUAUUUAUUAGAUUAAAUUAUCAACUACCUGUACAAGAACUUAAAUAGAAUGCCUAUGUUGUUGUCAAUCAUUUGUUUCCUGCUUCUCUUGGCUACAGAUUGCUCCUCUCUGUUUAUGUGUGGUCUGUUUUACUGGAUUUACUCAAUUGUCCCAGUUUAAAGGGCUAUUUACUAGGUUAUGACUUCAAUGAAUUGAUAAAAAUGGAAUGCGAAACCUUUAGCAUAAUUGAACUUAAUAAAACCCUUGCAACAAUCCAUUGUCUUUCAAUUUUGUCAAAAGAAAUCAUAUUUCUUCAUACUGCACUGUUAAUCUGUAUGAACAACAAAACAACGUUUUGGGUUUAAGCAAUUGUGAGCAAUAUAUAGAGAUUUGCGCGCUCUAUUCAAUUAGUUGCCCACAGCAAGGAGCAGCACAAAUUACUUCUUUCAGCAACCAACUGAUGUUCCUAAUCUUCCAGUAUCUAUACAAAAAGAACUUCAAGCAUACUAUACGCAACCCAGGAAUGUCUGAAGAAUAUGGUUCACAUGAUUCAUGCUUGAGCAUCUGACCAAACUGAGUUUUCUGAACCAUUGUUCAUCCGACAAAAUCUGGAAAUCAACAGCGAACAGGUGGAUCCAUCAGCUCAAGCAACUGAAUCAUCAUACAACUACGGCUGGACUCAGGGCUAGGUUUCCCUUUGUUUUUGUUUUAUGGAUUUUUGCAAUGUUUGAUUGCAAGGAAUUUGCCAAUGGAAAUUGUAAGUUCUUGUCAUUUAUCAAGUAACCUUGUUGUCGUUCUCUUUUCAAAAUCAAAGCAAUAUUGCUCUCAAUUUCAUUAUAAUACCACAAACAAACAAUAUUCCAUGUCUUGCAAAUGCAUGCUGAAAUUAUUCAGAACUUCUUUGAACCUAAAUUGUUUC